GGAAGAAGAAGAAGGAGCGCGCGCAGGUUGUGGAGGAGGGAGGACGGAGGAGAGGACGCAGGAGAGGAGAGGAGAGGAGACAGGAGGAGGAGAAUUUAACUUUAAGACGGCUCCAUGUUGAUAUUCCGGGUCUGAGAUACAGGAUGUGAAGUUUGAACGGAGGUUUGUUUUAUAAAAAAAAAAGAAAAAAGUCAGCGGGAUUCGAGGCGGCGGCAGCGGGACGUCACGGACGAGAUCCGGAGAGAAGCUGCGCUAACCGUCCCCGGUACACUUCUUCACCCGGGAGCUGUCAUGCCAUCUGAUUUACACCGAGUUUACCGUUAAGUGAUCGAUCCGUGGUCGUGUUAACCGUUCGAUCUACUUGUACACCGACAUGUUGGAUUAACUCCGGUCUGAACUCGGCUGUUUGGUGUUUUAACGCGAGUUUGAAGCGUUUCUGUCCGAGAACACAUGAAUCUGGUCCUGGAGGAGCGACCGGUGUCUGUCCCACGGCUUCUACUGGACUCUGCUGGUCCCUUCUGGACUCCACCGGACUCUACUGGUCCCCUCUGUACUCUACUGGUCUCUACUGGUCCCCUCUGUACUCUACUGGACUCUACUGGUCCCUUCUGUACUCUACUGGACUCUACCAGAGCCUCCAUCAGUUAAUGUUUAUGGCUCCACUGUGAUUAAAUCCACAUUAUCGACAUGUAUGCGGGACGGAAGAGGAGAAAACCUGCUCAGAAGGGAGUCAAACCGGCUCCGACCGAGCCCGCCAAGUCCAACCCGUCCAAACGCCACCGCGACCGCCUGAACUCGGAGUUGGACCGGCUCGCUAGCCUGCUGCCUUUCCCCGAAGACGUCAUCUCCAGCCUGGACAAACUGUCCAUCCUGAGGCUCAGCGUCAGCUUCCUGCGCACCAAGAGCUUCUUCUCUGUUGCGCUGAAGAACCAGCUGUCCAAUGGCGUCAACAAGAGCAUCGAUCACGGUGACGACAGCAGGACGUCAGGAUCCGUGGACGGACGUAUACCUGAGGGGGAGCUGCUGCUGCAGGCCCUCAACGGCUUCGUGUUGGUGGUGACCGCCGAGGGAAUCAUCUUCUUCUGCUCUCACACCAUACAGGAUUACCUCGGCUUCCAUCAGACGGACGUGAUGCACCAGAGUGUGUUCGAGCUGAUCCACACUGAAGACCAGCAGGAGUUCAGGAGGAACCUGCACUGGGCUCUCAACCCUCCUGCCGGCCUCGGACCCCCCUCGGAUCCUUCAACAGACGGAGAGUCGGUGUCGACGUCUUCCUGCCUGGUGAGCUACAACCCCGACCAGCUCCCGCCUGAGAACUCCUCCUUCCUGGAGAGAGGCUUCGUCUGCCGCUUCCGCUGUUUGUUGGACAACUCCUCCGGCUUCCUGGCGCUGAACAUCCAGGGUCGACUCAAGUUCCUCCACGGUCAGAUGAAGAGCGACAGCGAGGGCAUCAACCCGCCUCAGCUCGCCCUGUUCGCCAUCGCCACGCCCCUCCAGCCUCCCGCCAUCCUGGAGAUCAGGACCAGGAACAUGAUCUUCAGGACCAAACACAAGCUCGACUUCACUCCCAUGGCCUGUGAUGCAAAGGGUAAAAUCGUUCUGGGCUACACGGAGGCGGAGCUGAGAGUUCGAGGCUCCGGUUAUCAGUUCAUUCACGCUGCUGACAUGCUGUACUGUGCCGAAAAUCACGUCAGAAUGAUCAAGACGGGCGAGAGCGGCCUCACCGUCUUCAGGCUGCUCACCAAGGAGAACCGCUGGAAGUGGGUCCAGGCCAACGCCAGGCUCGUCUACAAGAACGGCAAACCGGACUACAUCAUCGCCACACAGAGGCCUUUGGUGGAUGAAGAAGGAGGGGAGCACCUGAGGAAGCGAUCCAUGCAUCUGCCGUUCACCUUCGCCACCGGAGAGGCCAUGCUUUACCAGACGGGUUAUCCUCUGCACGGCUUCCCUGAUUCCUUCCAGGGCAAAGCCAAAGGCAGCAAGUCCAAGAAGAGCAAACAGGACAAGAACUCCUCAGAAGACCUGGACCCGAAGGGCCUCCUGGGGGCGCUGAUGAGCCAGGACGAGUCUGUGUACGUUUGCCAGCCGGACCCCGAGCCCAAGAUGUCAUACCACAGCAGCCUUUUCAGCGAGCAGCCGGGUGACAGCAGCUAUGGCAGCUGCUCGAAAACAAGUUUUGACCCACUGCUGGCCACUCUGGACUCUCUGUCGCUGGAUGGAGAGGAAACCUGCUCCAACAGCGAGCUCUUUAACGCUCUGGAGAACCUGGGACUGAACGCUGAAGACCUGGAGCUGCUGCUGCUGGACGAGCGGAUGAUGCAGGUGGAGCUGGACCCCAACCACAUCCCCACACUUAACGACCUCCUCACCAACAACGAAAUCCUCUCCUACAUCCACGACGCGCUGGAGAACGGCACCGAGGGGGAAGACGACACAAGCGCCGCCCAGCAGCCGCCUGCUGCUCCUCUGGCUCCACCCAUCAUCCAGCUGUCCCAGCAGAUGCAGCAACACACGAGUGCAGGCGUUUCCCAGCCUGCACCUGUGGACACAAAGGUAUUAUCCGGGAUUCCCAACGGUCACUGGGUGGUGACGACGGAGAACCACCACAACCGUCAGCACACUCAUACUGUCCUCAAAUCCUCACCGCUGAACGGUAAACACCUGAGUCAGCAGUGGCAGCUUCAGCAGGAGCCGCACUCGCUCCACCUGCAGUCCCAGAAUCAGCUGCCAGACUUCCAAGCAACAAACGGUUCGUACAUCCCGAACGGACACACCGCCUUCCCACCCAACACGGAGGUCAACCACACAGGUUACAGCACGCCACAUGCCGGUGGCUCGGUGCUGAACGGAGAGACUCCAGACAUUUGUCAGUACCAGAGUUUAGUCUCCACGACGCGGCCCUACCAGCCGCAGACUCAGGUUCCUCCAUCUUGUUUUCCCGCUCAGAGCUCCACACUGGAGUUGGAGCAGUUGCUGAGUCUGUCACCACCACAGCACAGCCUGCCGUCGUUAGAGGCCUACAGCAUGUUCAACACCGCCACACAGGACUCCGCCCACAGCAAGCUGGAGAACGGCUGCCUCCUCAGUGCCGCCAACGCCGCCUACAUCAGGACGUGUCUGAUGCCCAACGGGAACGGCGUGGCGACAGGCGACAUCCCCGUUUCCUGUCCAGACGGACUCUCCGCCCUGCAGGACCCCCCGAAAUCUGGAUUCUUCCUCUGAAAGGGUGACGGCUAUUAGAGAAGACAAGGUGCAGAUGGAACAAGGAAAAAUAUGAACACAUCCAUUUUUUAAUAAUCUUCAUGACGAGGAUCGACAACGAAAGACGAGCGGAGACGAAGGAAUUAAGUUUUUUUUGUGUCACACUGCGUGUUGUGAUGUUUCCACUCACUGACAGAUUCAUCUCCCUGUUCGGAUACAUUUAUUGUCAGCGGGUGUUUUUAGUUUUCAGACUCACUGGAGAUUGGAUUUUUGCUCCAGAGCCAAAACUCAUCACUGUCCGAUGUGUAUAUACACUGUUAAUGAAGAGAAGAAGAAGAAAAUGAUGAUGAAGAAGAAGAAGAAUAGAGGAGGAAUAUCUCUUUAUCUGAUAAUGAAAUUAGUCCCCUCCCAUCUGGGUCACUACAAGAUGUUUAACUCAACAUGGAUUCCAGCUCAGAUAAUCAAGAUGUCUCGUUGUAAAACGGUAGACAGCAGAGUUUCAGCACUCGACUUUUCAAAAUAAGAGCGUCCUUCACAUCACUGCAGACCGUUUCUCAAAUCAGACUGAACGUUUUCAGGUUGUUUCCUAAUUUCCAGAGCAGAGUUCCAUUUCGGAGUUCCCCUCACAAGGAGCAUUUUUAAAUUGGUCCCAACAGUAUUGUACAUUUUGUCACUGAUUUCACAUUUUAUUUAAUCUUGAUGAAUUCAGCCACUUCAGCCAAACAUACACAUCAGCCCCUCUCAUCAGUCCUCCCUCAGAAGAUCUGCACAGCCUCCAUAUUCUGGGAUUAUAUCGAUUAUCAGGCAGAUAUUCAGCAUCUUUUUUUCUUCUUCUGCUCCACAGCAUCCUCUCCCAAAACACGAUCUGAUCAGUAAAUCACAGUUAAUAGUCAUUAAAAUCAAAAUGUCUGACUGUGCAAAGUAAGUUAUACCUAAAUGUAUCCAGUAAAUGUAGUGGAGAGGAAGAAUAAAACAGAAAGCAAAAAGGAAACACUCAAGUAAAGUACCUGAGAAUUGUACUUGUAACACUGGUAAAUCUACAGUUUGACUCUGGUGUUGUUAUCUUGCAGAUUGAAAUAUCAACAGCUUAAACUUGCAGUGGGGGGUUAUGCAGAAUAAUAUUAAAAACACAUUAAAUUACCUAAUAUUGAGUGAUAACUGAAACUUUGGCUUGUCCAAAAUGUGGAAAUCAAAGCCGGCGUCUCUGUCCUGGUUUAAUAGAACUGCAGCAGAACCACCAAGCCCACAGAACAACAUCAAGCUCCGGCUCGUCAAGAACGGGACGAUCGACAAACAGCCAAAAAACUGACUGAUAUUUGCUGAAAUUGACAAAAACUGUGUGAGGGAACUGAAGAUUCUUCCUUAAAAGCGACGUUCUGCUUUGAAAACUGGUCUGUAAGCCAUCGUCUGCUGGUAACCUGCUCGUCCAUCCUGACGUGAGCGGUUCGUAAAGUUAGAAGACGUUUAUACUAACAGAUUAUUUAAACUUCAGUGUUCGUUUGUCACCUAGAUGUGUAGAAGGCCCGUCGGGUCGGUAGAUGUCGUUCGUCCUGGUGCUUUACGUGUCAACAAAACAGCAUUUCAUUCUUCUGGUUAUUGUUGUUGAGAUGAGAUUCAAACUGAAGGUAAACAGUCAGACAGCAGGAAGAGGUUUUAUUUAUCGCCGCUGGCAUCACGUUGUUGAUCCUAAUGCUGCAUUUUAGCCUAUCUGAGGUUUACAAUGAUGUUGUGCACUUACAUGUAUGUUCUGGACUUCUUGAUUUGUCCGCCAGUGGCACUGAAAUCAAACGAAAAAAGCAUUUUUUGUUUCCUGACCGGAGACAGUGUGAAACUCUCCCGUUAAUGCCUUGUCUCGUCGGCUCGGCCCGUCAGACUUCUUUAUCCUGCAGUCUUGUCAUGUACCGCGAAGCACUGAGUGCACUUACAUGCACACAGUAAUCCAUCAAGGACCCAACUGUAAAUAAUAGAUCACAGCUGAAGGCCGAGGAGGAAGUGCAUGGAAGUGUUUCUCCAGUUUAGCUUCCUGUCAUCACACAGGAGUGAUUCAACGAUUCAGAGAAUAUAAAAUGUUGAUUAAAAAUCAAACCGGCUCAACGAGGCUCAAACGUGAAUAGUUUCGUCCUUCAGCUGACGUACUUCUUCUUCUCACUGUGAAUCCUGCAGGUUUGACACUGUGACAGACGAUACCGAACACGCUGCUCCUGAACUUCACUGAGACUUUUCUACGGCUGUCAAGCAGACAGUUUUGUGUCUUUGUUGUUUUUGUUUGAAUGUUACACGGUCAGACAAACUGCUCAGCAGACUUCUUCUGGACAACACAACAAAACCUGGUUUCCACAUGGAAUCAUAACCUGGACUCUCACGUGUGUGUCAGAGGGAAAAGAGAGACGAUGCUGCGUUCAUGUCAUGUCUGACGUAAAUAACAGCUGCAGCUACUCAUUAGAAAUAGUUAUUAAAGGGUUUCGACUGUCUAAAAUCGAAUAAUCUGAAUUUAGUGUCGAAGUUAACACCAGAAACGAAGGCUAACAAAAGCUAAUGCGUCGCCUCGCCGUGUCUCAUCAGAGAGAAAAGCAACUUCAAGAAUGAAUCUGUUGAAAUUGUUCCUGAUGAAAUUAGUCUCAUCUGAUAUGGCUUAUUGCAGAUUCGCUGAUAUCUGGGUCAGAACAGCACAUUUUAUACUUUAAAGGCUGUUAAAAUGAAAUGAUUUGAAAUGAUUUGAAGCCACUAGCAAACCCCUGAUGAUUUUAGUCACAAUAAUCUUAAUAUGCAGGAACUUUGUAUGAACAAUAACUGAACACCUAUGAUCGUUAUAUAAUAGAUGUAUAAAUUAAUUAAAGUGGAAGCAGGAAACGUUCCCCUACACUUACAAUAAAUGAUCGUUACCCAGAGAAAGAAGGUUUUCCACCUUUAACUUUUACAGAUUUAAAAACACAAAGUAAUGUGACACUGAUGCGACGUGAACGCAGCAUUACUCACAUUUAACAGACCUGACAGACAGAAAAGGAAGCUGGAGGGUGGACGACAGACUGGACAGCAUUUAGCAUUUAGCAUUUAGCACCGACUCAGAAACCAAAUGAGAAACAUGUGAACACACGUGUGUCUGCAGUUCCUCCGUCGUUGAAUGUCUCGUGUAAAACUGUUGAAAGGCGUUUGUUUUUUGUUUUGUUUUUUUCAAAACAUGAAGCUUUUAUUUCACCACUGAAAGGUGCUCCGAGGUGAUCUGUCGAUGGUCGUUAGCAUCACGACGAUUAAAUGCAUUUACAGAUUUGUUUGUUUUUUGUUUUUGCUAAUUCUUUUGUAAACUUUUCUUAUAAAACAGAUUAUUUAAACCAGUUGAGAUCAAAUGCUGUAUGAAAGAAAACAUUUAUAAAUGACAAUCAUUUUCCAAGGCGCUUUAAGAACAAACAAAAAAAAAAGGUUGUGUGUAUAUAACUGUGUUUUUUAAUGGUGUUGUUGCAAGCACUACUUUAAAAUCACCUCUUCUCCAGCACUGAAAGUAGUCUUGUAGAAAAAAAAGGCAUUUUAUGACUCCAUGUUGUUGAAUAUUGUUCCCAAGAGUUGUGUUUUAUCUUCAUGUCAUGUUUGUCACUUUAGCUCCAAACUAAACGGUGCCAUAACGGUAAGUCGGGCCAGUCAGUAUCUGAAGACGUAUUUCAAAACAUUUUACAUAAAGAUAUAAAAUCUUUUCCCUUUUUUUUAGUCUCUUAAAAUCCACUUUGUCCACCAGAUGACAUUUAAAAGUGACAGUUUCAUUGUUUUCAUUGUGUUUUCAGCCAAGUUGGAGUCAAACUUUGGAACCAAACUCUCCGUGAGCUGUUUUGGCGUUGUUGGUUUUUUUAAGGCGCACAGACUUUAUUUUGCUACUUUUAUCACUGAAGGUCGUAGCUGUACGUAAAGAAAACUUUUUAAAAAUGCAGUUUGUCUUCGAGCCGUGUGUUGAAAUGUGCUCUUGGAUCCUGGAAAUAAAGGAUUUUGUGCAAUCACACUGAAUCGCCUCAUACAUCUUGUCUUUUCAGAGACCUCCCUCACCUGUAGGCCCUCACCUGGCCCGCUCACCUGUUCCCCAUUCCCCAAUCCACCUUUCAGGAAGUGCACAGAGUAGCCAGACAGACAAAGGUUCCUCCUGCUGAGUCAUCACAGGAAGGUUAGAGCUGCAGCAGGAAACACUGAUCCCCCUCUCUGCCUCCCAGCACCACCCAGUCUCCACCCGUCGGGCUGUCAGCGUUCAUUACCUCCAGCCCAACAAACAGAUACUUCCUGUUCUCAGCUUCCCGCAUGAAGGGCAGGACACUGGACGCUCGGCCUGUCAAUCAAACCUGAUCCACACACAAACACUGUGGUGGUUUGACCCGAGCGUCACGCUGAGGUCUGCAGGCUGAACACCAACACUAAAGUAAAGGUCAGGACAUUCACAGACGGCUUCCUGCAGAUAUGAGCGUCUACGCCCGCCCCAGAGCCUGCAGCAGCCAACGAGUGAUCAUGUAGACAAGCAGCCCUCCCUCUCUUCUUCCUCCUCUCGCCUGAGCCAAUCACACGCUAGCCUCCUGAUGAUCGAUGCAUCAUGCAGCCAAUGAGAUUUCAGAUCCACAGAGCUGUCUCGCCCCCCGCUGGCCGCUCUGAACACCACACACAGGUCGGACUGAUGACAUCACAUCACCCUCACCUGCUCAGCCUGGAGUCAGCAGGUAAACGCACGUUACAGAGAUCUUAGAUCGACUUUAAAGGCACCGUGACUGAGUACAAGUUCUGAGUGUGGAUAUAAAAGAAGAAGUAACUAAAAGCAGAUGAAGUGGUGAAAGUGAGAGUGGGACUUUAAUGUCCCAGCAGCAGCAGAACACGGAGGUAAUCCUCUCCACCAGGAUUAACGAUUAGCGUCUUCAUCGAAACCGAAGCAGCUUUCAGCUUCACUGUCAGUGUUUGUGUCUCGCUGUAAUCCUGCUGCUCCACGAUAGUCUCAGUAAAUCUACACCCUAUACAUA